AUGGCAGCAUUUGUUUUAGGGAUUUUACUCAAAUAUAAAGAUCUGAAAUGUCUGCAGACUGGUGUGAGCACUGAGGAUGAGGAGCCUAGAGCUGCAUCCUGGAAGUGGUGCCAUGGAUGAGUCCCUCCAUCUCUCCACCUGCCCUUAUUGCCUCAGAUUGUGAAGCGCAGCGCAGCAACAAGCUCUGGGACGAAGGCACAGUCCCCUCUGGUGAAUUCAUCAGAAUAAAGCCGCAGAAUGGGAACCGCUGUGUUGAGACGGCAUUAGGAUGUGGUGUUCAGCCCUGUAAAUACAUGCUUGUAGUUUGAAUAAAGCUUUGUUUCAUGU